rnacentral:rRNA from 1 species
UACGGAGGAUGCAAGCGUUAUCCGGAAUCAUUGGGCGUAAAGCGUUCGUAGGUGGCUGUGCAAGUCUGCCGUUAAAGACAGUGGCUUAACCACUGAAAGGCGGUGGAAACUGCGCAGCUAGAGGUGCGGUAGGGGUAGAGGGAAUUCCCGGUGUAGCGGUGAAAUGCGUAGAGAUCGGGAAGAACACCAGUGGCGAAAGCGCUCUACGUGGGCCUGCACUGACACUGAGGGACGAAAGCUAGGGGAGCGAAUGGG